rnacentral:pre_miRNA from 1 species
GACGUACUCCCUCCGUCCGAAAAUACUUGUCAUCAAAAUGGAUAAAAGAAGAUGUAUCUAGAACUAAAAUACAUCUAGAUACAUCCUCUUUUAUCCAUUUUGAUGACAACUAUUUCCGGACGGAGGGAGUAGUAA